AUUCAUAAAGGAAAGACCAGACCUGACCAGAAAAUUUGAUGCCCAAUCAAGAGAAUCAUCACAAGGGUCCUGUCCUGUUACCUUAAAUUUCCCCUGGAUUCCUUGGUGCAGGUCUUCUACAAGAUUCUACUGGCUUAUGGCUUUGUACACAGAUAUGGAUUGGAUAAAAGAGUUUAAUAUAUGAUCCUCACCAGUUUUCUUUAUCAUUGAUCUUUCUCCAGUCCCUUUCAGAAAUUUUUAUAUUUUAUAUGGAAAACAUAUGCUGCCUUAUAUCACUAUAUUAACCAAUAUAUGACUCCUUGAACUUUAGUUAUUUGCCUAAAUAAAAAUAACUAGUAAUUGGUGAAAAAAGGGCUA
rnacentral:lncRNA from 1 species